rnacentral:rRNA from 1 species
UACGAAGGGGGCUAGCGUUGUUCGGAAUCACUGGGCGUAAAGGGCGCGUAGGCGGACGAUCAAGUCAGGGGUGAAAUCCCGGGGCUCAACCCCGGAAUUGCCCUUGAUACUGGUUGUCUUGAGAUUGGAAGAGGUAAGUGGAAUUGCGAGUGUAGAGGUGAAAUUCGUAGAUAUUCGCAAGAACACCGGUGGCGAAGGCGACUUACUGGUCCAUAUCUGACGCUGAGGCGCGAAAGCGUGGGGAGCAAACAGGAUUAGAUACCCUGGUAGUCCACGCCGUAAACGAUGGAUGCCAGCUGUUGGGGAGCAUGCUCUUCAGUGGCGCAGACAACUCAUUAAGCAUCCCGCCUGGGGAGUACGGUCGCAAGAUUAAA